GAUGAACGCUAGCGAUAGGCUUAACACAUGCCAGUCGAGGGGCAGCAUGGUCUUAGCUUGCUAAGACUGAUGGCGACCGGCGCACGGGUGCGUAACGCGUAUGCAACUUGCCUCACAGAGGGGGAUAACCCGUCGAAAGACGGACUAAUACCGCGUACACUUGGGAUAGGGCAUCCUGACCCAAGGAAAUGAAAUUCGCUGUGAGAUAGGCAUGCGUCCCAUUAGCUAGUUGGUGAGGUAACGGCUCACCAAGGCGACGAUGGGUAGGGGAACUGAGAGGUUGAACCCCCACACUGGUACUGAGACACGGACCAGACGCCUACGGGAGGCAGCAGUGAGGAAUAUUGGUCAAUGGGCGAGAGCCUGAACCAGCCAAGUCGCGUGAAGGAUGACUGUCUUAUGGAUUGUAAACUUCUUUUAGACGGGAAUAACAAGAGCCACGUGUGGCUCCCUGCAUGUACCGUAUGAAUAAGCAUCGGCUAACUCCGUG
rnacentral:rRNA from 1 species